GACGAACGCUGGCGGCGUGCUUAAUACAUGCAAGUCGAACGAGAAAGCCCUUCGGGGUAAGUAUAGUGGCGAACGGGUGAGUAACACGUGGGCAACCUGCCCCGGAGAGCGGGACAACCCGAGGAAACUCGGGCUAAUACCGCAUGAUGCGUCUCCACUUAAGUGGAGCCGCCAAAUGGUAGCUUCGGCCUCCGCUCUGGGAUGGGCCCGCGCCGGAUUAGCUAGUUGGUUGGGGUAAUGGCCCACCAAGGCGACGAUCCGUAGCUGGUCUGGGAGGACGAUCAGCCACACUGGGACUGAGACACGGCCCAGACUCCUACGGGAGGCAGCAGUGGGGAAUCUUGCGCAAUGGGCGAAAGCCUGACGCAGCAACGCCGCGUGAGGGAAGAAGGCCUUCGGGUUGUAAAGCUCUUCUGUCAGGGAAGAAACACCGGCUCUAACACAGUCCGGGGAUGACGGUACCCGAAGAAUAAGCACCGGCUAACUACGUGCCAGCCGCCGCGGUAA
rnacentral:rRNA from 1 species